GUGAGGAAUAUUGGACAAUGGGCGCAAGCCUGAUCCAGCCAUGCCGCGUGCAGGAAGACGCAUCUAUGGUGUGUAAACUGCUUUUGUACGGGAAGAAACACUCCCUCGUGAGGGAGCUUGACGGUACCGUAAGAAUAAGGAUCGGCUAACUCCGUGCCAGCAGCCGCGGUAAUACGGAGGAUCCAAGCGUUAUCCGGAAUCAUUGGGUUUAAAGGGUCCGUAGGCGGUUUAAUAAGUCAGUGGUGAAAGCCCAUCGCUCAACGAUGGAACGGCCAUUGAUACUGUUAGACUUGAAUUACAAGGAAGUAACUAGAAUAUGUAGUGUAGCGAUGAAAUGCUUAGAUAUUACAUGGAAUACCAAUUGCGAAGGCAGGUUACUACUUGUGGAUUGACGCUGAUGGACGAAAGCGUGGGGAGCGAACAGGAUUAGAUACCCGGGUAGUCC
rnacentral:rRNA from 1 species